rnacentral:rRNA from 1 species
UACAGAGGGUGCGAGCGUUAAUCGGAAUUACUGGGCGUAAAGCGUGCGUAGACGGCUAUCUAAGUCGGGUGUGAAAGCCCCGGGCUCAACCUGGGAAUUGCAUUCGAGACUGAAUAGCUAGGGUACGGUAGAGGGAAGUGGAAUUUCGGUGUAGCGGUGAAAUGCGUAGAUAUCGGAAGGAACAUCAGUGGCGAAAGCGACUUCCAUGGACC